UACAGAGGUCUCAAGCGUUGUUCGGAUUCAUUGGGCGUAAAGGGUGCGUAGGCGGCGCGGUAAGUCGGGUGUGAAAUCUCGGAGCUUAACUCCGAAACUGCAUUCGAUACUACCGUGCUUGAGGACUGGAGAGGAGACUGGAAUUUACGGUGUAGCGGUGAAAUGCGUAGAUAUCGGGAGGAACACCAGUGGCGAAGGCGGCUCACUGGACCGGUACUGACGCUGAUGCGCGAAAGCGUGGGGAGCAAACGGG
rnacentral:rRNA from 1 species